UCCCUGGUGGCUCAGAGGUUAAAGCAUCUGCCUGCAAUGUGGGAGACCCGGGUUUGAUCCCUGGACUGGGAA
rnacentral:tRNA from 1 species